CUGUUGUUGAGCAGGAGGAUAACAGAGGCAGAGCCCGAGAUCAGCCCGGCUCGGUGGCAGGGUAGCAGAGAGAUGCUGGAGAGGAACAGCCAGGCAUUGCCCUGCAGAACAACAAAAAUAGAUCAACUCAAGAACAACCAGACCCUUGUGGCAACCUUCUGGGAGUGACUUUGAGAGCCUCCAAAGUUGGCUUUUUGUUGUUGGUUUAAGUCUUUGCAACAGGUCUGAGGUAUUAAAAAAAUAUCAAAAGAAAGAAAAUCGGUGCAAUUCCCCCCAAAGUAUUUAAUAAAUAUUUCUGUGUAAGAACA